rnacentral:misc_RNA from 1 species
GUGAUGACAUUCGUCUUGAGGUGAUGCGGUGUCAUUUUUCCUGUGUAUCCUGGUUUUGAUCUGUUUGGGCUAAAACAUGUGGAUUAGCGGUUGGUGAUAUGGCAUCGCUCCCUUGGUUGAUGAAAGUCGUCCAAUGUUGCUGUGCUUUAUUUGUUUUCUUCUCGCAUCGCUCGGUGCAUUCUGGGGUCAUUUUGGCUAUUGGCAGCUCGCUUGGUAAUUAAGCUUGGUGGGUUGCUACUGGUUGGGUGUCUUCGGGGAUGUCUACCGUAAAGGUGCAUGAGUGGUGUUUGGUUUGUUACGGGUGGUUGGCUCUUUGCUUGCGCAACAACUUCUACCCGGCAUACCUCUUCAGUCUUGUGUCAAUGCUUGUAUAGCACUGAAUGCACGGUGGGUUUCUUGUGUUGCAUUCCUAAUUAAUGGUAUCGUUUGAUGAAUUGGCUCUCCAUUUGUCUUGCGUCGCCUAUGCGAUGUGAGAUGAACCUUGAAGUAACCUUUGUGAUCCACUCUUCUGAUGCAUAUGCAUUGAUUUUGUGGCCCAUUGAGUGUUGCUUGGUCUCAUGGAUAUGGAACCUGUUGUGGGCAUGGAAUCCUUAAUGGUUCCCUGUUUGCCCAUGUUUAGCUUUUCUAAAACGAGUGUCUAUCA